rnacentral:lncRNA from 1 species
AAAAAAAAAAUAGAGUCUUAUAAUGAAUAAUACCUCGGUUGUUGGAUUACUGGAACCAUAGAAAGAAAAAGCAAACAAAACAAAGAGAAGAAAGUUAAAAAAAAAUCAUGUUAGAGAUUAUGAAGCUAAUGAUUUUGUUAAUGAAAUGUUUAUUUCUCCUACUCACCUAGAGGAUAUAAAAUCUCGUAUAUUUACAUGGUGAUCCAACUUUUGGAAAGUUUUCUUCAAGGUCUGAGCUUUCAAAAGACAAAACAAUUUGAAUCAGGGACCAAACAAACAAACAAGCUUCUCAGAAUCAAAAUCAAAUUAAGAGUUUUGUUUUGAUUGUGUGAAACAACUUACUUCAAGACCCUCGAUCUUCCUGUAUUCAAAACCAAACAAGUGAACAAAGCGGAAAGAAACAUAUCGAAAAGAAUCUCAAAAAGAAUCAGCCAAACCUUUUUGCUCUUUCCUCCGGUGUUACUUGAGAAAACUUUGCAAUCACCUCUUCAAUGCUACUGAAACAAUAAUAAAAAAAAACCCACAGCAAAUCAGAACACAAACCCAAUAGAGACAUUAUGUUCUAGAGAAGAAUCAGUUACCUUCGUUGAGCGCAACAUAAGGAAGGUUUACCAGUAGGAGAGAACAUAAGAAGAACAAGAUCAAUGUCGCAAAGAACAGAAAGCUCGCUAGCCUUUUUCAAGAUCCCAUUUUUCCUUUUAGCGAACGUGGCUUGGCGCCCUGCUGUGUUCUCUAACUUCUUUAUCUUCAAUUUCACCCUUCCCAUCCUGUUCCAACCAAAACAAAACAAAACACACACACAUUCAACGAAUCACCCAAUCGGACAAAGAAGAAAAAAAAUGCGACCUUUACAAACGUUUUGGAAAACCCUAAUCGGGAAUCUGAAUGGGUGAGGAAAAAGGAAAGGGGAAAGUUACCUAAAGAAGCAAAUUUAAACGCCAAGCGGAUACUAACCAUGAGGGGAGGUAUUAAAAGGGAGCUCUUUAGAGAAGAAGAAGAAGGAGAAGAAAAAAAAGAAGGAAGAAUGAAAAGCAGAGGUAGAAAGAGAGACAGAGAAGAAGACGAAUGCGGUUUACAUGAGACUCCGUAAAUUACGCUCUUCUGAUAGAGCUCCUUGAGAAUAGGGAUCCCAUUGGACAAACAAGAAGACGAACAACACAGAUUGAUUAUUAUAAUCAAUUAAAAAAAAAAAAAAUUAUAUUACCAUUUUACCCUCAACCCAUCGUUUAUCUACUCAGUUAGGCCCGAGCGGAUAUUGGUUCGGUUCGGGUAUUUCGGACUUUGGAUAGUUCGGGUAGAGGCUACAGAAUCCAUUUACUAUUUGAUCUAUUUUUGGUUCAGUUCGAUUCAGUUCGGAUAGUAAAACUAAAACCCGGAAAAUAUCUGGAAAAUAUCCAAUUCUUAUUUAGUUCCAGUUUGGGUUAAGGUAGGUCGAGUAAUUCAGAUAAAUAUCAAUUAUUUAGGGUAACAUAUCAGAUAAUUAGGAUGAUUUAGAUAAGAAUUUCAAAUAUUUCGAAUUACUUUGGAUAUUUCAGAUAAAAUUAUUCGGAUAGUUUUGAAUACUUUCGAAUAAUUCAGAUAUUUUAUAAUAAUUAGUUAUCUUCAACUAUUUUUGGAUACUUUUAACAGAUCUUUAAAUUGAAAAUAUAUAUUUAACUAUUAUAUAUAUAAUUAAUAUUUUAUAUAUUCGGGUAUCCAUUUGAUUCUCGGUUCGGUUAUUUCAAAUAUAAAAAUAUAUAAACCGUUCAGGUAUUUGAGGGUUUUGGUCUGAUUCUAGUUUCGAGUAUUUCAGUUCGGUUCCAAUUCGGUUCUUCGGUUUUGGUAUUUUUCCCAUGCCUAACUCCAGCUUCAAGAGGAAAGAUAAAUGUUUCUUUUAAACCAAGAGAUGACGACGUUUCGAUGUAUCUACCUAUUAUUACCACUAGGUCCUUGUCCGCGCUACGCGCGGUUAGUAUUUUAAUUUUUUUUUUAUAUUUUUAUACUAUUAUGUCAAUUGUUUAGUUUUAUAAAAUGUUAUGUUUUUACUGUAAAUUUGGAAUUAAAAAUCUAAUUUUUCCUUACUGUAAAGUAAGUUAAUUUUUUUGAAUCUUACCACAACACAUUAUACAUGAAGAGAAUAUAGUUGGUCUUUAUAUUCUUAUUUGCUGUAAUAUUGAAAAUUUUGAUGAUUUGUUUAAAUGGUUUUUUUUAAUUAUAUAUUUUAAGAUUGAUUUUUCGUGACUACAUUCUAUAAUUGUCUAAAAAAAAUUGUUUGUCCCAUAUAGACAUCCACAUAAAUAUGAACUUCUUAUAAAUUUGUUCAUUGGAAUAUUUAGUUUCACUUUCAACUUUAUUCUCUUUUUUGGCACCCUCAUGCUAACUUGUGGGGCUAGCCAACUUGGUGCAAAAGGGUUUACAAAAGCUGAUCGAGAUGCGCGUGAUCGGACACCUUUUGCUAGGCUAUUCGUACAGAAUUUUAAAGAUCUAAGAAUAUAAGCAAUAGAAAGUUCAGAAAAUUAUUUAGAUACAGCAUGUAUUUCGUCUAGCUCCGAGUCCAAAGCAGGCCAGUCUUCCUCCUUUUGAAUGAGUAUAACCAGUUGUUCACAAUUGAUCGAAAGACCAUCUCUUUGUGUCCAAACUUCAGUAUCACUUGCAUUGCCCAUAGCAAACCUUCAGCUUCCGCUUGCAGUGGUGAUUUGGUGCGUGUAUAUUGGCCCUUGCUCCAAACAGCAUUGGAAAGUCACCAUCCAUUAACACAAAGCCAAGUUCAUAUAUAUCUCUUUCAUUUUAUCCAGGAUGUCUAGCAAGAGCGUUUCUUUGCGGAGGAACAGUUGUGUCCGUUACUUCAACUCCCAUAUCAAUCUCCAUAAUCUCGUCUAUACGUUGAGAUAUCCUCCAACAAUCUGCUUCAAUUUUAUUCGCUAAUGGAAAAUACAUAAUUCCUACGACACUAUUAAUUAUUGUUUUUUUUUGUAACACCGAUACGACAAACUUAUGUUUGAUUUAACAAAACUCUUAUUUUAAUUUUGUAUUAAAGAAUCAAUCAUAUUUCAUAUUAUCCAUAAUUUUAGUAAAUUUGCUUAUUUGUCAUGUUUUUAUUAGGUUUUAGCUAAGUCAUUGAUUUAUUAUUUAUUUUUAGCUAAGUCACUAAUUUAUUAAUUAAAAAAAUACCCUUAAUUAAUAUUAUAUAUAUAUUAAAAAAUAAAUUUUAUUUUAGUAAUAUUAAAUUUCUAUUUUAUAUUAAAAUUUAGUUAGUUUUUCUUAUUUUUCAUAUUUUAUUAGGUUUUAGACUUUUAGAUAGGUUAUUGAUUUAUUAUUAAUUUCUAAGUGAUUCGCUAAUGUGUUAAUUAAAACAAUACCCUUAAUGAAUUUUAUAUAUAAUUAAAAAAGAAUUUUAUUUUAAUCAUAUAAAAUUUAUAUGUUAUAUUAAUAUUAAAUAAUUGAUUCUAAAAUAAUAUAAUAAAAUUAUCAAAAAUUGAAAAAUAAGAUAAUUUUUAUAUAUAUUUUGUUGCUAUCUGAAAACAAUAUUUUUAUUAUAAAAGUUAAGAAGAUACAAAAAAUUAUAGUUAAAUAUUAUUCAAGAAAAAAACAUUUAUAUAAAGAUAUUUUCUAAACUAUUUCUAAGAUAUGAGUGUUUUAAAAAAUUUAACACAGGAUGUUUAGAACACGGGAUUAUGCUUAUGAGAGAGUGGCUCGGGAAUAGGCUUCGAAAUAGGUCGAAUGGGCUCCGAAAAUAGCUUAUUUUUUUUUAACUCAAACUCAAGUCCGGAUGACAUGGUAUCUUGAUUGGUUCACAAUAUUUUGCCCAUGUGGCAAGGCUUAGAAAGUAGGGAUUUAGUCCCUUUUAUAUAGUAGGAUUUUAUCCUUUAUCCAUCGUUUAUCUACUAAGCUUCGAGAAGAAUAAACUAAAAAACUCUGAAAGCAAACGACGCCGUUUCGAAAUGUUAUAUAUAUAUAUUGUUAUUACCAUCUUACCCUUACUCCAUCAGUUAUCCACUCAGCUUGAACUACAAAAAAAAAAAAGAACCUUUUUCGCUGAUGAUGUUUGCACGGUGCUGUCUUCUCCCGCCGCCGUUUAUCUCCGCCGUGAGAACCCGAUGUUUCGCCGGCGAAACUUCCGACACCGGGCUUCUCUUCCGAGAGAAGCUCAUCUACCUCCAGGACCUCAACGUCGACCCUCACAAAGCCCUCCGAGUAAACCCCUCUCUCCGCGCCGCUCCAAUCUCCUCCGUCGUCUCCGUCGAAACCCUCCUCUCCUCAACCGGUCUCUCGAGACCCGCCGUCGGCCGGAUCCUCGACAUGUUCCCCGAUCUGCUAACCUCCGACCCCGAAUCCGACAUCUUGCCCGUGCUUCGCUUCUUAUCCGACGAGAUCUACCUCUCCGACGAAGACAUCCCGAAGUCGAUAACCCGCUGCCCUCGCCUCCUCAUCUCCUCCGUAGACUUCCAGCUCCGUCCCGCCUUGGCCUUCCUCAAAACCCUCGGCUUCGUGGGGCGCGACACUGUCACCUCGCGGAACACUGUUUUGCUGGUUUCGAGCGUGGAGCGAACUCUAAUCCCUAAAAUCGAGUUUCUUGAGGAAGGGUUGGGGUUUACGAGGGAUGAGGUGGCGAAGAUGGUGGUGAGGUCUCCGGCGUUGUUGACGUACAGCGUGGAGAACAAUUUGGCUCCGAAAGUUGAGUUCUUUAUGGAGGAGAUGCGGGGUGAUGUCAAGGAGCUGAAGAGGUUUCCUCAGUAUUUUUCUUUUAGCUUGGAGAGGAAGAUAAAGCCGAGGCAUAGGUUGCUUAAGGAGCACGGGAUCUUGAUGCCCUUGUCGGAGAUGUUGAAGGUUAGUGAUGGACAGUUUAACCUUUGGCUUGUGGAGCUUCGUCUUAGGUCUGUUGAAAGGAGAUUGUAAAAGGGUUUCGUUCUUUGUGUGUGUGUUCCAAGGAAUAGAGACUUUACAAAUAAAGCCCGAAGAAGGUCGAAUGGGCUCCGAAAAUAGCUUAUUUUUUUUUAACUCAAACUCAAGUCCGGAUGACAUGGUAUCUUGAUUGGUUCACAAUAUUUUGCCCAUGUGGCAAGGCUUAGAAAGUAGGGAUUUAGUCCCUUUUAUAUAGUAGGAUUUUAUCCUUUAUCCAUCGUUUAUCUACUAAGCUUCGAGAAGAAUAAACUAAAAAACUCUGAAAGCAAACGACGCCGUUUCGAAAUGUUAUAUAUAUAUAUUGUUAUUACCAUCUUACCCUUACUCCAUCAGUUAUCCACUCAGCUUGAACUACAAAAAAAAAAAAGAACCUUUUUCGCUGAUGAUGUUUGCACGGUGCUGUCUUCUCCCGCCGCCGUUUAUCUCCGCCGUGAGAACCCGAUGUUUCGCCGGCGAAACUUCCGACACCGGGCUUCUCUUCCGAGAGAAGCUCAUCUACCUCCAGGACCUCAACGUCGACCCUCACAAAGCCCUCCGAGUAAACCCCUCUCUCCGCGCCGCUCCAAUCUCCUCCGUCGUCUCCGUCGAAACCCUCCUCUCCUCAACCGGUCUCUCGAGACCCGC